rnacentral:tRNA from 1 species
CGGAAGUGGGUUCCAAAAAAGUUGGUUUGGGACCAGAGGGUCGGGAGUUCGAAUCUCUCCACUCCGACCA